rnacentral:ncRNA from 1 species
GCGAUGAAGCGGGAGGUUGCGGCCGGUAUGGCCGGUUUUUCCGCUGAGUAUGUCCGAUUUCAAACCGGGCGACAA